rnacentral:rRNA from 1 species
CCUACGGGUGGCUGCAGUGGGGAAUAUUGGACAAUGGGGGGAACCCUGAUCCAGCCAUGCCGCGUGUGUGAAGAAGGCCCUCGGGUUGUAAAGCACUUUCAGUGAGGAAGAACGCCUGGUGGUUAAUACCCAUCAGGAAAGACAUCACUCACAGAAGAAGCACCGGCUAACUCCGUGCCAGCAGCCGCGGUAAUACGGAGGGUGCGAGCGUUAAUCGGAAUUACUGGGCGUAAAGCGCGCGUAGGUGGCUUGAUAAGCCGGUUGUGAAAGCCCCGGGCUCAACCUGGGAACGGCAUCCGGAACUGUCAAGCUAGAGUGCAUGAGAGGAAGGUAGAAUUCCCGGUGUAGCGGUGAAAUGCGUAGAGAUCGGCAGGAAUACCAGUGGCGAAGGCGGCCUUCUGGACUGACACUGACACUGAGGUGCGAAAGCGUGGGUAGCAAACAGGAUUAGAUACCCUGGUAGUC